rnacentral:rRNA from 1 species
ACGGAAGGUGAGGAUGAUGUCAAGUCAGCAUGACCUUUACUAUCCAGGGCUACACACACGCUACAAUGGUCUGUACAAUGGGUAGCCAAGCCGCGAGCGGAGCCAAUCCUGAAAGCAGGCCUCAGUUCAGAUUGCAGUCUGCAACUCGACUGCAUGAAGCCGGAGUUGCUAGUAACCGCAGGUCAGCAAUACUGCGGUGAAUACGUUCCCGGGUCUU